CCUACGGGGUGCAGCAGUGGGGAAUAUUGCACAAUGGGGGGAACCCUGAUGCAGCGACGUCGCGUGGGUGAUGAAGUACUUCGGUAUGUAAAGCCCUAUCAGCAGGGAAGAAAAUGACGGUACCUGACUAAGAAGCCCCGGCUAACUACGUGCCAGCAGCCGCGGUAAUACGUAGGGGGCAAGCGUUAUCCGGAUUAACUGGGGGUAAAGGGAGCGUAGACGGGGUGCCAAGUCUGGUGUGAAAGGCCGGGGCUCAACCCCGGGACUGCAUUGGAAACUGGAAUGCUGGAGUGCCGAAGGGGCAAGCGGAAUUCCUAGUGUAGCGGUGAAAUGCGUAGAUAUUAGGAGGAACACCGGUGGCGAAGGCGACUUGCUGGACGGUAACUGACGUUGAGGCUCGAAAGCGUGGGGAGUAAACAGGAUUAGAUACCCGGGUAGUC
rnacentral:rRNA from 1 species